ACUCCUACGGGAGGCAGCAGUGGGGAAUAUUGCACAAUGGGCGCAAGCCUGAUGCAGCCAUGCCGCGUGUAUGAAGAAGGCCUUCGGGUUGUAAAGUACUUUCAGCAGUGAGGAAGGCGGGUACGUUAAUAGCGUACUUGUUUGACGUUAGCUGCAGAAGAAGCACCGGCUAACUCCGUGCCAGCAGCCGCGGUAAUACGGAGGGUGCGAGCGUUAAUCGGAAUUACUGGGCGUAAAGCGCAUGCAGGUGGUUUGUUAAGUCAGAUGUGAAAGCCCGGGGCUCAACCUCGGAAUUGCAUUUGAAACUGGCAGACUAGAGUACUGUAGAGGGGGGUAGAAUUUCAGGUGUAGCGGUGAAAUGCGUAGAGAUCUGAAGGAAUACCGGUGGCGAAGGCGGCCCCCUGGACAGAUACUGACACUCAGAUGCGAAAGCGUGGGGAGCAAACAGGAUUAGAUACCCUGGUAGGAUAGCG
rnacentral:rRNA from 1 species